CCUGUCAGCAAGGUAAUAAACUAUUACUACUACAUUCUUUUAAUAUAUUCUCAUGGUAGGCUUUCAUUUAUCAUCCUCCAGUGGGCAAUGUGAAUUGAAUUGCUAAUGCAUAAUUUAAUUGAUAUGAAUUCAAUCCAUAUUUCUCAAUGCUCAGGUCAGCUUAAGCCAUUUGUACUGCUGUUCCCAUGGAACUGAAACUAUAUCUUUUAUACAGCCUUUAGUUUGAUCCUGCAGAUGGCUGCUAUUACACAAAAAGCUCCCAAUAAUCUUCCUACAAUCUGCUUGUUGAAUUGUAGGUAGAGGAAGCAAGCAGAAAUACUGUGAUUCUCAUCAAUGUGAUAAUGAACUCUACACUUCCGUAAGCUCAUAUGUGCAAGUACCUUAAAGCAGAAGCAGCCUGCAAUUAAGCAGUAUUGAUGUUCUAAGAAAGAAGACACAUCCCUUAUCUUUUUAGUUACUGUCUGUGGGAAGCUGGGACAGAAUAUGGUGUAGACAGUGCAGUGACGGCUUUGGUUGGUGGCCGCUGUGGAGGUGACUGUGCUGAGGCUGGUUACAGUCCCUGAGGGACUGAUUGCACUUCAACUCAUGCAACUGCAAAGUCGCUAAAAUGAUACACAAAGUAUCAGCACAUCAAGGAAAAUAUCUUUAUAGAAUAAUUGUGGGUUUGGUUUUUUUAAUCAUUUGAUUAAAUGUUAAAGAAAAGCCUUGCAAUUCAAUUCAACAGAAGAAGAACAGAUCAAUGAUGCUACAGGAGAAAACACAACAAGAAUUAAACUGCUGUAAUUAAUAGUUUCAAAUGUUAUCAUUUGAGCUUCAGUUUGUAUGUAAGUGCUUUUGUUCCUGACUUUACCUGGUCUGAUUGAAGAGUGCCACACCUUAGAUCUUCCUGAUUCAUUAACAGGACCUUUGUUACUUAGCACAGUAUCUUUGUACUUCUCUGACGUCUCACAUGCAGCACUGAAUGCUAGCUUAUCUGCACAUGUGAAAGAACUUAGGAGAUUCCUACCAGGGCAAUAUGAGAAAUCAAGCAAAUUUAUUUUGCUUAUUCAACAAAGCUACCAUACAUACCACUUUUCAUAGCAUUUGCUAGUUGGAGAUGUACUUUGCUGUAUGUUACUAAUUUUCUGUAUGUAUCUAAACAAUAGCAACAGCUUUAUUACACUCCACUGCUCCUCAGCUGGGGGUAUUCAGAAAUGUUCUGGUUCCCAGAAUCAUUUCCUACCAUGGUGGCGUUAAUAAUGUCUAUUCAGAGCCCGUAGUUGCUUCCUUCCUAUCUUAAAUAAAGUAUGUAUGAUACAGUUAAAAAUAGGCAUUGUUGGAAGAUGGCAGACAGGCAAAUAUCCUCUCCUUUAUCACAUUGCCUCCCUUCAAGGAGAUUCUGCAGUACAGGUACAAUUACAAUUCUGCUUCUGAACAUAACUUUUGGCUGGAAUACAUAUUCUUUUACCACGUUUCAAAGCUGCAAACCAGGGUAUAAGUACAGAAGUGGCUUUUAGAUACCUGAGAAGUAAAGUUAAGUACACUCUGGUCAAUCAGUGACUCUUUUUAUUGAGCCUAAAGAAUGCGAGGCAGUAACACUUCUAAAACAUAUGGAAAGCAUGCAUUCCGGAUGGGAAGGAAGCUGGAAUACUUAGAUAUACUCUGAAGGAAUAUGAAGAUAGAGUUUAUUAUGGAAAGAUCGGAAUCCUGAUAGAUUAAAAUCCUGAAUAUACUGGAUUGUGAUACACUAUUUGAAACCCACUCUCACAAAUCCCAUUGGAAAAAACCUUUGUGGAAGUAUGCUGAACACAUGCAAAAUUUGUUUUUCUAGGGUGAUAAACAGCAGCAUUGUUAUGAAGUUAUUUUCACGUUUCCUUGUUACAUGACUAAGUUUUAAUGACUUUUUUUCCUUUGAAUGAGGCUUUCAUAUUUCUUAAGCUGUUUGAGAACCUCCCACUCCUCCAGUCCUCAGAGCUCUGCAGCCAGCCUUUCUCAGAGGACAUUCCAGUUUUGUCACUGCACAGCUGCACUUGGCAGCAAGCCCUCCACACGAGGCGUUUGCCAAAGAGGCGCUCGGACCCCCCAGACGCUCUCCUGAAACAAUGGCCAAUAAUACGACAUCUGUAUAACUGCUAAAUAUCUUUUUUUUGCCUUAGAAAGAAUUUGUUUACUUCAGUUAUAAAAGGUGUUAUAUCUUUGACGUCACUGGGUUUAUGCUCAAAGUGUUCUGUGGAAACUACCUCAUUGCUUUAUAUUUCACAGGCUGAUGGAUAGCAUAAGCUUAAUACACUGAGCUGCUGAUAAAUAAAAUCCACUGCAUUCUUUUUGUUGUGGGCCUGCUCUUUGGUCAGGGAGUCAUCUCCUUGGAACUCUUUACUUUCUAAAUUUUUAAAGUACUUAUCAUAAAGAUCAGCCAUGAAAAGAAACAGAAGGAUAAAAACUAAUGAAUUUGGAAGGUAUUUCUUUCCUUUUCCUUACAUACUGAAAUUAACAUUAGUCUUUUCAUGUGUCUGGUAGUCAAGCAUUUGAUUUCAGACAGAGGAAGGCAGAAAGCUGUGUACUUCUUUAGUCCUAUUCUAAACUUUAAAAUCCCCCAUUUUGUAUGGAUACUAGGAAGAAUUUGAUGUCAAUUCCAUAAAAUCAUAAUGAAUAAAUAAAUACAUAAGUAAAUAAGAAAUUAUGUUUGACUAAGCUGUAUUAGACCACAGAGGCCUUGAGUGUUUCACACAUCUCCUCUCCAUAAUUUUUCUCAUCCUCUAGGCUGGUAGUGUUUUGAACCAUAGCACUAGGAAUUCUCCCUCCACAAAGGAAAACUGCAAUUUAGAAGUAGUGUCAAUUAAAUGUUAUGAAAAUACUUAAGGAUGUUUCAACAUAGUGUGAGUUUAACUUUCUAUUUUAAAACAAUCAUUUUGUUUUAAACUAAAUGUAGCGCUGGUUAAACAUGUCCAAAAUAACUCAGAAAUCCUUUCUGUGUGUAGCAGGAACAGCACAUUGCAAUAGCAGUGUAAACUUGCCUCCUACCACUAUUGUGUUUAGGGGUAUAUCUAGUCCUAACUGAGCAAAGUCUCUCCAUGUACUUUCUAUGAGGAUUUGCUUAAAUCCCACAUAAAACUUUGCUGAGAGUAAAUUAGUCUAUGCCCAUUUGCACCUCAUUUCAGCUGUUUAUCUCUCCUGUAUGGAUUUUCUCCUUAUUAUGUAUUGUAGAAUAGAAAUUAAUUUCUUUAAGGCAAAACUCCAAUUAUUUUUUUUCAGGAAUAGAGCAAUUUUUGUUGUUCCCUUUAUUGUUUUAUUGUGAUUAUGUAUUUAAAAAAAUUAUGUGAGUAUUCAAACACUCAAACUACAAGCAAUUGCAUUAUGUUUUUAGUCACUUUUUCAGCAGCCUUUUUCUUCAUUUCUAAGCUUGAACCCAAGCAAAGAAUUUGCAGUGGUAGGCAUAGAGGAAAUGCUAAGUCACAGCUUCAAACAGUGAUUAAGCACCUGGUGGGAAGGCAGGGAUAACCCAGGGGAGCUCAGUUGCAUGCAGUGCACCUGAGUAACUGGAAAGGCUGGAGCCAGGAUCCUCCUCAUUUAAGACUUCACUUAAGGGUUGGUAGUGGAGGUAAGUGUGUUUUACUGGUGGUUUUUGUGCACCUGAGGCCUUCUGGAGGUAAGCAGAUUCUUUCUUUUGUCUCUGUGUCCAUAGCUGUUGUAUUUGAGCAAGUUCUCACUUGUUACAGCCUAAUGCUUUGCUAUUCUGCUGUCAGUGCUGCACUUUCCAUCGUGUUACAGUAGGUUUUUCAUUGCUGUAGGGCAAGUAGAUGAAAAGAUAUUUUUUUUCUUUUUAUGUGUUGUCUUCUUGCUUGGAAACAUUAAGCGCAAUUUACCAAACUGUAAGGAUGACUCUUUCAAUACUGAUUGUAAAUUAUGGGAUGCAUUUCUAAAUCUGAUGAGUUCCUGAAAUGUGACUGUACUCUUUUAUAUAAAGUUUUUCUUAGACUUGGAUCUCAAAAGAUAUACUCCAGUACUACUCUGCACACAUCACUUUUGUCUUCCCUAGACAAUGUUUCAACAUGCUGUAGUAUUAAGAUCAAAAAAUGUGGCAUGAGGGAAGUUAUUAAUCCUAUUUCCUUUGCUAAAGUUAUAAGGACUAUAAGUUUAUUCCCUAAAUGUCUCCAAAAUGGCAUCUCAAGAGUCAAUCAAAAUGGGCAAAUAUAUUAUAUGAAAAAAUAAAAAGACAAACAAUUACAAGACAGAUAUCUCCAAAACAAAGUUUAGUUCAGUUAGAACAGGAUGACUCAACCUUUCCUGCUAGAAACUUAGCUAUGCCUUCACUGGGGAAUAGGAGAACACGGAAUGUACUUUUAUAUUAACUUCUCUAAUGUAGGAUUUUUUUUCCUUAUGCAAUUGAUUUUGUUUGUCAGGCACAGCUUCACAACCUGUGAUGAAACAUUCAAACAUUACCUAUUCAUUGACUCAUCUAGAUGGGAAUCCACUGGCCUACUAGUGAAAUGACAUACUACAGCUGUGCUGAUGUCUUUGUUCUUACUUGGACUCCAAAGUACAGCACAUGUUUACAAGGAUUUAUCUUGUGAUGAUUUUUUAUUAUUAUUUAUGUCAACAAAGACAUUGAAUGGAACAGUACUCUAAAUCUCAGCAGACUGGAGAGUUAUGUGAAGUGUUGUAAUGUGUUUCUCACAGAAACCAACACAUGACUAAUAGUAUAAUUUUCUAUAUAUUCCAAAUGAACAUCAUCUUGAAAGAGUCUCUUAAGAAUGUGCAGAUGGUUUCUUUUAUGUGUUAAAAAUCCAUAAAAUUCCAUACAUGAGAAUUUACAAAUAUCAGAGGAAAAAUAGAAGAUUUUUUACCAUGGUUUAGCUAGGCUGAGUCUGUAGGGACCUCUGACGGAAACCUCAGUGACUGGCAGAACCAUUUGUUACUACGUUGUUAUCAGUAAAUGAUAGCUAAAGUUGCAAAACAGUUACUCAAGUUGUAACAGGAAGAACUAGUAGCUCUGUUUGGUGAGAGAAAUUGGUGAUUUAAUAUUGUCAGUGAUUCUGGUUGGUUGUUGCUUUUUUGUUUUGUUUUGUUUUUUAAUGGCAACAACAGCAAUUUAUUAAUAAAAUCCACAGGGAUCUCAUGACUAACAGAAAGCAAUGGGCCCUCAGCUUUCCCAGACAAGCCCUACAAGUUAUAAAUAAAUAGAUGCAAGUUGAACUGCUGUAGCCUACAUUGAAAUGCCUAAACAAGUGGUCUGGGAUAAAGUUCAAGAAAUUGAAUAAGUUGACAAAAAUAAUUUGUAUUAAUAAGUCAGUGGAUGGCUGAAUAUCCAGGAGGGGAAAAAGAAAAUUGAAAUGUGUAGGCAGUGUGGGGAUGGAUUAGGAGAGGCAUCUUCAACAGAAUGUAUUAAUGCCUUUGUAAUCAGGACUGGUAGAAAAAAUGGGAAAAAAUGAUAUAAUGAAAAAAAAGUUUACAGUUCUCAUCUGCCUUGUUUGGGGAAAAUAAGAUGACUGGAAGAAAAUUGCACUUUUUCUUGAAUUUAGUGAAGAAAAGGUAAAGGUUUUUUUUCUUUUUUCCCCCUGGAAUUUUAACCAGGAUAAGCCUCAGUCAGGAACAAAGAGCCACACAGUAUGAAGAAUAAAAUGGGAACUGAGACUGGAAAUUUAAAAGCUUCUGAAUCUCAAAGGAGUGAAUUUGUGAAACAACCAAUGGGAACAUAAGGAGAAUAAACAUGAUGUGGUUGCCUGCACCUCUCUUACAUGGAUUUGCUGAACUUAAUGAUAAGGUUAAUGUGAAAAGUGUGAGUGUAAACAAGGUGAGAUAAAGAGGAGUAUGACUAUAGGAUCUGUAUUUUCUCUGCUAGGAAAAGGCAAGGUGAUUAAGAUAAAGAAUGAGAAAGCAUCAGGCUUAAAUAGCUCAAAGCACAGGGUAGAGACCAACAACAAGGGGGAAAUGGAGCAAAUGGGCUCGGUUUGGAGAUGGGCAGCAGAGGAGGUCUGUGAGUGUCCAAGUGUCAGCUGCUGGAAAUGUCAAAAGAAUAUCUUUACACCAUGACAACUGGAAAACAAACUGGGCAGUGUGGUGGAGGUGCUGCUGUGCAGGCCUGCUCAGGCAGCUGUUUUGUUAAGCAUAAUUUUCUUCUACAUGACUGAUUCUUAUUUUUCCAAGUUGAGGAAAAAAGAAUUUGAUAUGUUUUCUUGAGAAUUUAUCUGAUGACAAUGUAUUUACGGAACUUCUCACGAAAAUCAUCACAUAAAUAUUUGAUUCUGAUUGUGAUUUCAGCAAGUUUAUUUCCAAGAGCUUGAUUUAUUGAUAAAAUUCCAUGUACUGGUCUCCAAACAAAACAGCAAAGACUGAGAAUAUGAAAGAGGCAAAGUUAUUGGGUUUUACUUUAACAUAUUAUUUUCAGCUACUGCUUUUUAUUUUAAGGAUAUAAAUCACAGAAACUAAGUGAAGAUGGAGAGCAUCCUUUCACUUGUAAUAAUUUGCAUUUCAAUAUUAACUUCUUUUGCCUUCCUCUCCCAGAUCCUGACAAAUUCCUUGCUGCAGUUUUUAGAUGAUAAGUCCUGCAAAGCAAGGCAAACAUCUGAACGCUGCUGAAUUAAAAGAUUGAAGUAAUAUAAGACUAUUCAGGUUAACAGAAAUGUAAAAUACCGGUUAUAAUCUGACUUAAUUACGUGACUAGCGACUUUCUGUCAGUGCAGUAAGUUUCUGAUUUACAAAGGAGGCCUAGAUUCGUUGGAAUAUUAGUAAAUUUUUUUCCAUGGUCAAGUUUUUAGAGAAUGAACUUCUGGCCAUAAGGAGUCAUACAAGGAAAGGAACUGGUUCCACUGUCCAUCACUGCAGAGCAGACUAUUCUCUGCUUGAGAGUUGAGCUCAGAAUUUACUUGCUGCUAAGCCUGGUGAAAAUAAGUGGAAAUUCUAUUAAGUCUCUUGCUUUCCACUUCUUUUGGAUUGGGAUCUCAUUACUUUAAAGUACUGUUACUGAAAUGCGUCCUUACUACUUGAGAUUAGUAAUAAUUCUAGUGGUAGCUGAAAGUAAUUUUAGGUGUGUGAACUGGUGCAGCUGAGAUUAUAAAUUGGCACUGCAGAUGUCCUUUUCAAUUCAUGAAAGCCCGUGGAAGUUUUAUCUGGCUGAGGACUUAGUGCCCAGUGUGUCAGGGCCUCAUCCUGGCUUUACUCAUAUGCACAUUUUGUGAAUUCUUUUUAUGAGUUGUCAUAGAGCAUGUUUGAAUACCUUUUUCUUUCUUGAGGAUGGAAGAAACCUUUCAAACCCUGUUAGUAGGCCAUGCAUUUUCCAACUACUUCAUGGUGUCUAACUUUAAUUUAAAAAAAAAAUAAAAUUAAUGUGGUAAUUAAGCAUGAAGUCAGAACUGAUCAGCUUUAGAUUUCUUAGUCCUGCCAUAAAGGAAGCAGUCAGAUCCAGUCAAUAUAAGAGAUGAGAAGCCCUUAUUUACUCUUCUGCUAUAUCCCAAAGGAAAAAUAAGGUCAGGGAAAGGACAUUAAGCUGUACAAUAUUUGGAAAGUGAGCUCUGUACGACGUAAAUUGAAUAUACAAUUCAAGUACAAGCUUGGUAAAGGAAUCCUCACUGUGUAUAUGAAAUGUUUCCCUGAUGAAUAGUCAAUGGCUCUGGUUUGUGUUUGAAUUCCUCCCUCUGCACUCAUGCAUUUAGGAAACCAGGUUGGAAAAGAUUCAUUUCUGUCAUUACCAGUUUUACUGGAAAAAACAGGAAUGCUUCCACUGUGAAGAAAUUCUUUAUGAAAGGGGCACUGAAGCAGUGGUGCCAGGUGGGGAAGACAUCUUUAGUGUUUGUCAUAGCUUCCAUAGAAAGUCUGGCUGAAAAGGUCAGGGAUGCUCUGAAGAGGCAUGGAAUUUUGUUUUUCCAAAGUGCACCACCUGCUUACCAUGGUAAAUUACACUUAAGUAUAAGAAGUGUGCAAAUGGCAGUAGCUUGUCCCUUAAGCCUAGGCCUUCACCCACAAACAGCUGGUACGUUUGACCUGGAAACAUCCAUACUCAUUAUUCCUGCCUUGACAAACCCUGCUUUCAAGCUGAGAAAACGAGCACAGCAUGGCCUUGACUGUGGUCUAACUGCACCACCCUGCGUGGCAUGUCUGGCCCAUGCUACCAACCUAUUUUUAAAAAGGAGCAGUGUGUCAUCUGAAGAAACUGUUUUCGGCUUCUGUUGCUAGAACUUAAGGAUUGCUUUUAUCCUUCCUAGCCAAAGAAAAGGAGGUGAAGAUACUAAGAAAGGUAUCUAAACAUAUCCAUUAACUGAUGAAUGUACUCUCUUUGUUGCUUGUAAGACAAUAGAUGACUUCUGUUGAUAGAAUAAAUACUUGAGUAAAUGGAUGGUUUAGCUAGAAAUUGUUUUUGUGGGAAGCUGUAGCUGUGGUUGUGGCAUUAAACAAAUUCUUUGAAAACAUAGAAAAGAUUAAUCAUUGGCAUCUAGAGAGGAAAAAAAUGUUAGUGAUGUUUAUUGAAGGCAUCGUUAAAUGCCAUGGCUUAUUAUAAAACAUGAAAGAAAAUAAGCCUCAACAAACCACAGCAGAAGGAAGAAAUUUUUUUCUUAUAUUAGAAAUUUUUGGAAGAGCUGAGUUUCUGCUUUAUGUGAACAAGUAUGUCCUACUCCAUAUUUAACCUUUCAGGGGAAUGAAGGAAGGUACUGCAAGAGUUCAUUAAAUAGGCACCACCAAAACAGUAUAUAAUGUUUUGAUGAAAGACAGGAGAAGGAAAGAAGGCAGAGAAUGUGCCCCCUUCAUGUCAUCUGUAGCACAGUCAUGAAGAACAGCAGAUCUUUUCUGCAGUGCGUGCUGAUUUGUAAAGUAAAAACAAAUAAGACAGGCUGAAGUAUCAUUCAGCUCUUUUGGAUUUCCAUGUAAUGCCAAAUUUAAGAAAUGUUGCUUCUGAACUCAGCUAUAAAAGGUAUUGUGUGUAUUUCAGCUCUUCCAAGUACAGCAUGUGAAUGGGAUCAUCAGCUAAUCCAGAUCUACUGAGAAUAUUUGACCCAGUAUUUUAAAGGCUAGAGCACUCACCACCUGCAAGCCCUGACGAAGGACACUCGAAACUUAUUUAUAAUUCUUCGGGCACAUUAGGCUGGACAGUCCAUUCACAGAUGGCCUUGAAGUCUUACAUCUUCUCUUGGUAAAGUAAUCUGUCCAUUCACAAAUAUAAACAUUUGUUCAAGUCAAA